rnacentral:rRNA from 1 species
AUUACGGGGUGCAGCAGGCGCGAAAACUCCGCAAUGCGCGAAAGCGUGACGGGGCUACCCCGAGUGCCGUCCGCUGAGGAUGGCUUUUCCCCGGUGUAAUGAGCCGGAGGAAUAAGGAGAGGGCAAGUCUGGUGUCAGCCGCCGCGGUAAUACCAGCUCUCCGAGUGGUAGGGAUGAUUAUUGGGCUUAAAGCGUCCGUAGCCGGCUUAGCAAGCCUCCUGUUGAAUUCAGCGACCUAAUCGUUGAGCCGCGGGAGACACUACUAGGCUAGGAGGCGGGAGAGGCCGACGGUAUUCUCGGGGUAGGGGUGAAAUCCUAUAAUCCCGGGAGGACCACCAGUGGCGAAGGCUGUCGGCUAGAACGCGCUCGACGGUGAGGGACGAAAGCUGGGGGAGCAAACCGGAUUAGAUACCCGGGUAGUCCCAGCUGUAAACGAUGCGGGCUAGGUGUUGGGGUGGCUACGAGCCACUUCAGUGCCGCAGGGAAGCCAUUAAGCCCGCCGCCUGGGGAGUACGGCCGCAAGGCUGAAACUUAAAGGAAUUGGCGGGGGAGCACAAU